AACGUAGGACGCAAGCGUUAUCCGGAAUUACUGGGCGUAAAGCGCGUGUAGGUGGUUUUAUAAGUCACUGUUGAAAGCUCCCGGCUAAACUGGGAGAGGUGCGGUGAGACUGUAGAGCUAGAGUUUGGGAGAGGGGUGCGGAAUUCCGGGUGUAGUGGUGAAAUGCGUAGAGAUCCGGAGGAACACCAGAGGCGAAGGCGGCACCCUGGCCUAAUACUGACACUGAGGUGCGAAAGCGUGGGGAGCAAACAGG
rnacentral:rRNA from 1 species